rnacentral:rRNA from 1 species
UACGUAGGGGGCAAGCGUUGUCCGGAAUCAUUGGGCGUAAAGAGCGUGUAGGCGGCCCGAUAAGUCCGCUGUGAAAGUCCAGGGCUCAACCCUGGAAUGCCGGUGGAUACUGUCGGGCUCGAAUCCGGAAGAGGUGAGUGGAAUUCCUGGUGUAGCGGUGAAAUGCGCAGAUAUCAGGAAGAACACCAAUGGCGAAGGCAGCUCUCUGGGACGGUACUGACGCUGAGGUGCGAAAGCGUGGGGAGCAAACAGG